CAUCAUCUAGUAAUCUCAAUAUUUUACCACUAAAUAAGAAAUCAAAAAUAUUUUUAUAUGCUUCAAUUGGUUCAAAUCUAUUUUAAAGUGAAAAAAUAGUUUGAUCUACUCUACAUAUAUAACGUAAUCAACUCUAAAGAUUCUUCGAGGGACUUAGUGAUUUCGUUAUCCAUAUUUUCAUCAAAUUGUUUCUUACGAAAAUUAUAUUUAUAUUCAUGUCAUAUGCAAUUUCUUUAGUAGAAAUCAUAGCACUCAUAGUACAUAUAAUUUAUUU
rnacentral:lncRNA from 1 species